rnacentral:rRNA from 1 species
AGAGGUUACUGCUAUCGAGGUUCGACUAAGCCAUGCGAGUCGAAUGUAGCAAUACAUGGCGAACUGCUCAGUAACACGUGGACAACCUGCCCUUAGGACGGGGAUAAACCCGGGAAACUGGGUAUAAUACCCGAUAGGUCUCGAUUGCUGGAAUGCAUCGAGAUUUAAAGCUCCGGCGCCUAAGGAUGGGUCUGCGGCCUAUCAGGUAGUAGUGGGUGUAAUGGACCCACUAGCCCGUGACGGAUAUGGGCCUUGAGAGAGGGAGCCCAGAGAUGGACUCUGAGACAUGAGUCCAGGCCCUACGGGGCGCAGCAGUCGCGAAAACUUCGCAAUGGGGGCAACCCGACGAGGGAAUUCCAAGUGCUAGCACUUUGUGUUAGCUGUUCUUCUGUCUAAAAAA